GAGUUUGAUCAUGGCUCAGAUUGAACGCUGGCGGCAUGCCUUACACAUGCAAGUCGAACGGUAACAGGUCUUCGGAUGCUGACGAGUGGCGAACGGGUGAGUAAUACAUCGGAACGUGCCCGAUCGUGGGGGAUAACGAAGCGAAAGCUUUGCUAAUACCGCAUAAGAUCUACGGAUGAAAGCAGGGGACCGCAAGGCCUUGCGCGAACGGAGCGGCCGAUGGCAGAUUAGGUAGUUGGUGGGAUAAAAGCUUACCAAGCCGACGAUCUGUAGCUGGUCUGGGAGGACGACCAGCCACACUGGGACUGAGACACGGCCCAGACUCCUACGGGAGGCAGCAGUGGGGAAUUUUGGACAAUGGGCGAAAGCCUGAUCCAGCCAUGCCGCGUGCAGGAUGAAGGCCUUCGGGUUGUAAACUGCUUUUGUACGGAACGAAAAGACUCUGGUUAAUACCUGGGGUCCAUGACGGUACCGUAAGAAUAAGCACCGGCUAACUACGUGCCAGCAGCCGCGGUA
rnacentral:rRNA from 1 species